CCGCGCCCGGCCGUGUUUAAGCAAGUUUUAAAAAUACAUAAAUCCAUUGUGGCACAAUGUAAUAUGUAUCACCAUGCUACACCUGCGGACGCUUCCGAGCGGCUGCCAUGUCUGUGCAGUCAGGAAUGAUAAGUGAACCACCCGUGAAUGUUAACGAUAGUGAUCAUUCUGAGCUUUUUCAGUCCAGCUGAGCAAUGUCCACCUAAACACUACCCCUCCUCUGCUAUAAAACAAAGUCGGAGAAGAAAAAUGUAGAAGUGGCAGAGAUCUACUCAGUAACCCAUUCAAGAAAUACGUGUGACAGAUCUAUCACAGUAAUGGAGUGAUGGUGAGUAUUG
rnacentral:lncRNA from 1 species